GACGAACGCUGGCGGCGUGCUUAACACAUGCAAGUCGAACGGAAAGGCCCUGCUUUUGUGGGGUGCUCGAGUGGCGAACGGGUGAGUAACACGUGAGUAACCUGCCCUUGACUUUGGGAUAACUUCAGGAAACUGGGGCUAAUACCGGAUAGGAGCUCCUGCUGCAUGGUGGGGGUUGGAAAGUUUCGGCGGGUGGGGAUGGACUCGCGGCUUAUCAGCUUGUUGGUGGGGUAGUGGCUUACCAAGGCUUUGACGGGUAGCCGGCCUGCGAGGGUGACCGGCCACAUUGGGACUGAGAUACGGCACAGACUCCUACGGGAGGCAGCAGUGGGGAAUAUUGCACAAUGGGCGGAAGCCUGAUGCAGCAACGCCGCGUGCGGGAUGACGGCCUUCGGGUUGUAAACCGCUUUCGCCUGUGACGAAGCGUGAGUGACGGUAAUGGGUAAAGAAGCACCGGCUAACUACGUG
rnacentral:rRNA from 1 species